rnacentral:ncRNA from 1 species
GGGUGCCGGGCCACGAGGCGCGGCAGGUUCUGCACUGGUCGGGCCGCCAGCG